AUGAACACUUUCCACAUUAUCUGUUCUAAAUCAGCUCGGGCAUCUCGUCAAAUGCUGCCAGGGAAUGUUGCAGUUACUGUGUCUGCUAUAUCGACCCCAAUGAACACUCGCCACCAACCAGGAGGUCGUCACUUGGACCCGCCUUUUACUGAUGGUUACGUAUUACAACACAUUUAUGGAAGAGGAGGGAACAGGUCUCUGCUUUGGUACAGAGAUGGACAACACGAGAAGGAGGAGAGAAAUUUGCUUCUGAAGGAGAAGAAGAAAAAAGCUGGAAGAAAGAGGAAAAGAUCCCACCAUGCUGGUCAUUAGAGGGGCUAAAGAUCUGACCAGCAUGUCUCAGAUCAAACAUUAAUAAUAAACAUAGAAAUUUCACAGUUUUGUUCUUUUUGGUUUACUUAUUUUAAGAUGCGGUCACAUUUACCUUUUGGUGAAUUUUUGCAGGCAAAGUGCAGUCAUUUCAAUAGAAAUCUACACAAAAGUUUUACCCAAGCAGAUUUUACACUGGGUUCAAGUUGGUCAAGCAAAUUCACUGCUUGGUUUGAAAGUGACUUCUGAGUUAUGAUUCAAACAGCAUUAGACUAAUGAAAAUGGACAAUGUACCUUUUUGUUGCCUGCAAAAUUUCACUAAUGUGACUGCAACUUUAUUGUGUUAACUAAAAAAAAAGUUUACUGUGUGUUUACUAACAAAAUAAGCUGUUUUUUCAUGGUACUGAACUAAUCCUCAGCUGCAGUGUUAAAGAGAUAAUUCACCAAAAAAUAAAACAAUAAUUUACUCACCCUCAAGAAGGGCUGUUCACACCAAGAAUGAUAACUAUACUGAUGACUACUAAUUUUAUGAGAAUAGAGAAGAUCAUACCACAACUUUAACAAUAAUGACACAGAAGAACAAUAUCAUUAAAAUCACCUUCAGGACAAUUUUUUACAGUUGUUCCUCCUCCAAAGUGCAAUGGGCUGUGGGCACUAGCUGUAGUAGAACUGGUAAGUAGAGCAUCCAGGAACUUUUGGGAUUCUUAUUUUAACAAUACAAUUUGGGGCACAUUAAUUCUAAUUCAGAAUUUAAUUUAAGAGAGUAUGGAAACAGAUAUUACAGCAACAGUUAUGGUUAUCUUUAUAGCAAAUUUUUCUUGGUGUGACUGAGCCUUUAGGAAUGGGCAUUUAUAGUGUUUAGAAAUGGUAGUAUCAUCAAGGCAAACUAUUAUUGGAUGAAUUUCACAUUUGUGUUCAUUGAAUUUGAGGAUUAUUCAUUAUCGCUUUCAGUGUACAGCAAUACACAAUAAAGCACUAUAUAAACACCUCAUUUAUUCAUUCAUUCAUUAAUAAAUAUUAACAACAUGGAUGAUUGUCCUUGAAGCUUAGUGCUGUCAAACGAUUAAUCACAAUUAAUCGAAUCCAAAAUAAAAGUUUUUGUUUACAUAAUAUGUAUGUGUGUGUAAUGUAUAUAUUUAUUAUGUAUAUAUCAAUACACACACAUUUUGAAAAUAUUUACAUGUAUUUAUUUAUAUUCAUAUCAUUUAUAUUACCGUAUUUUCCGGACUAUAAGUCACACUUUUUUUCAUAGUUUGGCUGGUCCUGCGACUUAUAGUCAGGUGCGACUUAUUUAUCAAAAUUAAUUUGACAUGAACCAAGAGAAAUUAACUAAGAGAAAUGAACCAAGAGAAAACAUUACCGUCUACAGUCGCGAGAGGGCGCUCUAUGCUGCUCAGUGCUCCUGUAGUCUACCCCUGAAAACAUAGAGCAUAGAUGUUAAUGGUGUAUUUCUUCAGAGACAGAAAAAAUAUUCCCCCAGGUAUCAGUCUUUAUUUAAUUAAAGUCAACUGAUUGAAAUAUUUGAUUAAUUUAAAGCUAAAUGCCAGAUAUUAAAAGUAAGCAUACAAUACCUGUCAAAAGUUUUUGAGCAGUAAGAUUUUUCGGUUUUUUAAAGAAUUCUCUUCAGCUCACCAAGCCUGCAUUUAUUUGAUCCAAAAUACAGCAAAAGCAGCAAUAUUGUGAAAUAUUUCUACUAUUUCAAAUAACUGCUUCCUAUUUGAAUAUAUUUGAAAAUAUAAUUUAUUACUGUGAUCAAAGCUACAUUUUUAGCAUCAUCCCAGAUAGCAAAAUUCCUGAGGCCCAGAUCUGGCACACAUACCACAUGGAAUUGAGUUGAGUUGAGGCCCAGAUCCAACACCUUGCUCCGGCCCACAUACCACGUGGAAUAAUGGCAUUUGGGCAGUCCGGUCCUGUUUGCCAGAUUUAGGUCUCAAGUAAGCUUUGGCGUUGCUGCAUGUAAGCCAACCAAAUGAAUCAAAACUGGCCCUAAUGUGGGCCACAGUUGAUUUUUAUUCUAACCCUGGUCUUCCCCACAUUCCUCAUGUGGCCCACAUGCUGCAUGGAAUGGUGGCAUUUUUGCAGUAGUCCACAAGCACAGCCACAUUUUAGCUAAUAAUAAACCAAAUAAACCAUAAAUGUACAUUACCUGGGCCACACUAAGCCUUAAGUGAGUUAGGCAUCAACAAUACACAACAUAUUGUAAAGAGAAUUUAAAAAUGUCCCCCCUAAAUGUUGGGGGGGGGGGGGUUGUUCGAUGUUGGCACAGUGGUUAACCAUAAAAAUUAAAAAUGGCACAUUGCCGACCCCUGACAUAGAUAGAUCAAGCAUUACAAGUUUCUACACACACAUUUGUAGUCCUACAAUAUGUUUUUCUUAAGAUCACAUGCAUUGGCUUCUUAACAGUUUUUCCAAACAUCAGCUGUCACACUGUUUUUGGUCUGUGGUGGAUUUGAAGAGUUUAGUUUUGGUUCAUAAUGAUGUAGACCUCUGCUGUGAGUACAUAACUAAAGAUAUGUAGACAUUUAUUGGUGUACCACAAAACUUAGAAUUCAAAUGUAGCUUAUUUAUUCUAAGUACAUUCAAAAUGUUUUCAGAAAAGACCCCCCCCCCCCCCCCCCCCCCCAAAAAAAAAAAAAAAAAAAAAAAAAAACAAAGUUCUAAUUUGGCUGAUAUGUGGAAAUGCUAUGCACAAGAUGUCUUAAGUUUGAGAAAACCGAUUCAUCACCCAGUUGACGUGGAGCUGGGUGGCAUUGAAAUCAAAGUGAAACUAAAUAAAAGAACAAAGAGAGCAAAACUCACUCCAAGGUACACUAAUUUAAGUUUUUAAAACAUUAUUUAAUGAUUAUAGAGCUGUAU
rnacentral:lncRNA from 12 species